rnacentral:rRNA from 1 species
UACGUAGGGGGCAAGCGUUGUCCCGGAUUUAUUGGGCGUAAAGAGCGUGUAGGCGGUUCGGUAGGUCCGUUGUGAAAACUCGAGGCUCAACCUCGAGACGCCGAUGGAAACCAUCGAACUAGAGUCCGGAAGAGGAGAGUGGAAUUCCUGGUGUAGCGGUGAAAUGCGCAGAUAUCAGGAAGAACACCCGUGGCUAAGGCGGCUCUCUAGUACGGUACUGACGCUGAGACGCGAAAGCGUGGGGAGCGAACAGG